UAUUUAUUUAUUUAUUUUAUGUAUAUGAGUACACUGUAGCUGUACAGAUGGUUGUGAGCCAUCAUGUGGUUGCUGAGAAUUGAACUCAGGACCUCUGCUCCCUUUGGCCUCGCUCGUUCGCUCUGGUCCUUAUAUGUAAGUACACUGUAGCUGUCUUCAGACGCACCAGAAGAGGGCAUCAGAUCUCAUUACAGAUGGUUGUGAGCCACCAUGUGGUUGCUGGGAUUUGAACUUAACUGCUGAGCCAUCUCUCCAGCCCUCAAGUGAUAAUUCUUAAAGGGACAUGUCUGAAUUCCAAAACUUGGCUCUUGGGUAACGUUUUCUCCUGUCCACUUCCACUGAGUGACUACAGCUGUGGCUCCUCAGCCAUGGCUCCACUGGUUCUUUGAAAAAAGGUCUUGUGCAGUCCAAGCUAGCCUCUAACUCACUGUGUAUCUGUGUAUCUAGCCCAGGCUAGCCUCUAACUCACUGUGUAUCUGUGUAUCUAGCCCAGGCUAGCCUCUCACUCCCUGUGUAUCUGUGUAUCUAGCCCAGGCUAGCCUCUAACUCACUGUGUAUCUAGCCUCUAACUCACUGUUUAUCUGUGUAACUAGUCCAAGCUAGCCUCUAACUCACUGAGUAUCUGAGGAUGGCCUUGAACUACUAAUCAUCCUGUCCCUACUUCCCAAGCCCUGGGACUAUAGGCAUGCACUAGUGCCAGGCUUGGUUGCUCUCUCUCUCUAUAUCUCUCUCUCUCAAUCUCUCUCUCUCUCUCACUCUCAAUAUCUCUCUCUCCUCCUCUCCCCCUCUUCCCCUCUCCCCCUCCCUCUCUCUCCCUCUCCCUUUAUUUUUGUUUGUUUUCAGAGUCUUAUUAAUUUUUAAUUGUGCAUGUAUGUGUCCAUGUCUGUGUAUGGGUAUGUGCAUGCGAACGCAGUUGCCCUCAGAGGCCAGAGGCAUCAGAUCUCGCAGAGCUGAAGUGACAAGCAGUUAUUAGGCACCUGACUAGGUGCUGUGCUAGGGCCUCCAGUCCAACACAAGGGUAGGAAUGGUUCUAAGUAAAUGAACCAUCUUUCCAGCCCUCAGGUUCCUUAAUGAACGCCUCUCUCCUAGGGCCACAAAAAAGUCCCCUGAGCAUUGGAAAAGUUAUGUGACUGCCAUGACGUCUGUCAUUCACGUAGAAGACAGAGGGUAGCUCCAGCCUCUUUGGGCCUCAGUCUUUCCAUAGAUAUAACAAUGUCAGCUGAGCAUAACGGCACAGACCUGGAAUCCCAGCACUAAGGAAACUAAGGCGGAAGAUGGUCACAUCUGAGGCUGCAUAGUGAGUUCCAGGACAGUGACACGGGCUUCGUAGCAAAACCCUGUCUUUUAAAAAAAGCCAAACAAUCAAAGCCUGGAGACAUGGCUCAGCAAUCAGAAGUUCUUAGGCUCUUGCCAAGGACCCGGGUUCUGCUCCCAGCUCACACGUUGGGCAACUUACAACUACCUGUAAUUCUAGUGUUAGGAGAUCCUGUGACCUUUUCUGGCCUCUGCAUGCAGAUGGUGCACACAAACUCACAAGGACACACACGUACACACACAUACACACAUCAAUGUUUAAAACUGAGCUGAGCACAGUGGUGCGGAGUGGUGCACUCCAGUCAUACCAGGAUUCGGGAAGAUCACCACAAACCCUAGGCCAAUCUGGAUAAUAACGAGUUCAGGCCAUCCUGGGUCACAGAGAGGCCUUGUCUCAACCCCACCCCCCCACCAAGGCCUAACAAAUGGACAACAGUGCAGUUGUCACAAGCAGUCCCUCUCUGCAGCUCGUGAGAUUACCUUCCACCAACUUUAUUUUUUAAUUAAUUAAUUAAUUAAUUAAUUAAUUUGGUUUUUCGAGUCAGGGUUUCUCUGUGUAGCCCUGGCUGUCCUGGAACUUACUCUUUAGAUCAGGCUGGCCUCGAACUUAGAAAUUCGCCUGCCUCUGCCUCUCAAGUGCUGGGAUUAAAGGCAUGCACCACCACUGCCCAGCUAACUUUUAUUUUUUAGUCCUGGGAUUCAAAGCCAGGGCUUCAUGAAUGCUAUAUAAAUAGUCUACCCCUGAGCUACAUCCACAGUCCAAUUUAUUUAUUUUUUCCUUAUUUUUUCUGGGUGUUUUGAGACAGUAUCUCACUAAGUUAUACAGGCUGAACUUAAACUCACUCUGUAGCCUAGGCAAGCUUUGAACUUAUGAUCCUCUUUCCUCUUCCCUGCAGCAGAGUCCUACACCACCAGGAUUAGCUCACACUGAAAGCUGAGUCAGACCACAGAUUGAAUACAACUGAUUGAAAAGUAGUAAGAUUUGGUAUUGAGAACAUACACCCCGGGGUAAGAUGGCUUCCUGGAUUCCACAUACUCUUUAAAUGGCUGAAUUCCAUAUAAUCUUUAAAACUCAGAAAAUUAUGACAUUAUUUGUAUUCCUGCUACACAAGUGUGAGCCAUGGCUGGCAGUGCUGGCUUCUCUGGGAGCUUGUUGGAAAAGCAGUCUCAGGGCCCAGCCAGACUCGCUACAUUAGACUUUCUGAAUUAUCAAGCCCUCUGGGCUGCACCAAUGAUUCUUAACCAUGGCUGUAUGCUGACAUGUGGCUAGAGAGAGAGCUCAGUGGUUAAGAAUACUGCCUGCUCAUCCAGAGGAUUCAGGUUCAAAUCCCAGCACUCACAUUCAGCUAAUAGCCAUCUGCAGCUCCAGUUCCAGCCUGAUGCUCUCACACCAGCAUAUAGGCAGGCAAAACACCCAUAAAAAUGAAAGCAAAGCUUAAAAAAUUAGAACAUGGGUUUCACCUCCAAAGAUUCUUAUUGUUUAUUAAGUGCGUAGCCUAGGAUCUGUGAUUUAAAAUACUUCCUGAAUAAGCCAGACUGCGCAAUCUCAGCACCCAGGAGACAGACAGGGGGUUAGCUGCAAAUUCAAGGCCAGCCUGGAGUCCAUAGCGAGUUGCAGUCCAGCCAGUGCUAAACAGUGACAUGGUGCUGUCCCAAAGAUGAUGGAGAAUGAGAGAGGGAAAGUAAGCCGUACACAAGGAAGGAAGGCUUUAAGGACUAAAGCACAUGUCUGUAAUGCCCACACUUGGGAAGCUGAGGCAGGAGGAUAAGAAAUCAAAGGUUAUCUCUAGCUACAUGAGGAGGGGGAGGGGGAAGGGCAGGGGAGGGGGGAGGAGAAAUCUGACAGUAGCCAGGGAAGGUGGCAAAGGCCUUGAGUCUGCACUUGGGAGGCUGGCACAGAAGGCUCAGGAGUUUGAGAUCAGCCUCAGCAACACAGACACUUUGAGGCUAGUCUAGUCUACACAGCAAGACUCUCAUCAACAUGUUUUUUUUUUUGGGGGGGGGGAAGAGUGGGAGUGGAUGCAAAGAAUGUAUUACUCUUAAUUAGAAAAGAAAAAUCCUGGGUGUGGCCAGAGCUCGGCAAGGAGCCUGAAAGAGGGUGCAUGACAUGGGGGUCACCAUGGACAUGCACCAGGUGUUCCAGGAUCCCAUUGAGCAGGUGGUCGCUUGCUUCCUCUGAAAGGUGAGUAUUUUAAAGGUACCUGAUAAUCCAGCUAGAAGAAGAGUCAUGGCUGAGCCUUCAGAAAAGGAACAUGGCUAUCCGGAGUCGCUGCCUCACGUGGACACAGUACGCAUCCUUGAAGGAAGCGUCUGUCUUCCGGGAAAGCAUAGAAAGUCCAGGUUGGACAGAGUUCAUUCAAACAGGCAGAAUUCCAGUCACAGCGGCUGAAUUUCUCAACUGUGUUUUGGAGACUUUUGCUAGAACGUUCUUAAGACAAGGAGCCCAGAAGGGAAUUAGAAUAUUGGAGAUGCUGCUAAAGGAACAGUGUGGCUCCCCCUUAGUGGAAUAAAAGAAAAUCAGGACACUGCCACUGUGUCUACUCUUUCCCAAGACUCAUUUCUUAGCCAUAACAUCAUAGACACAAUUACUGGUUGCUGGUUUCAAGAUAGAGUCAGAGUGGCUUAGAGAAAAGGGAACUUUCCUGCUAGUCACAGACUUGACCCUCACUCCCCUUGGGGCCUGUUCAAGUCAUGGGACUCACAGAGCUGGAGGUUUAUGGCCUGGUCUCUUUACGAUCUCAUGAAUAAAGGGAAAAACCUAUCAAAAAGAAAAGAGAAGAAAAGAAAAAUCCACAGACUGUCAGCCCAGUGUGGAACCUUAAAACAA
rnacentral:lncRNA from 1 species